UGGGGAAUCUUGCACAAUGGGGGAAACCCUGAUGCAGCGACGCCGCGUGAGCGAUGAAGGUUUUCGAAUCGUAAAGCUCUGUCCUAUGGGAAGAUAAUGACGGUACCAUAGGAGGAAGCCCCGGCUAACUACGUGCCAGCAGCCGCGGUAAUACGUAGGGGGCGAGCGUUGUCCGGAAUUACUGGGCGUAAAGGGUUCGCAGGCGGCAUGAUAAGUCCGAUGUAAAAGGCGAAAGCUCAACUUUCGUAAGCAUCGGAAACUGUCAAGCUUGAGUGAAGAAGAGGCAAGUGGAAUUCUUGGUGUAGCGGUGGAAUACGUAGAUAUUAGGAGGAAUACCGGUGGCGAGGGCGACUUGCUGGACUUCAACUAACGCUGAGGAACGAAAGCGUGGGUAGCAAACAGG
rnacentral:rRNA from 1 species